UGGUGUAGCUCAGCUGGUAGAGCAGCUGAUUUGUAAUCAGCAGGUCGGGGGUUCAAGUCCGUCCACC
rnacentral:tRNA from 2 species